UUAAUAAAACUCAUUACUCUGGGAAUGUUCCGAGGCAGCCCGACCCUUGCCUGCCUAAGAAAAUCAGCCUCUGCUCCUCAUUCUAAGCCCUUAUCCAACGUCCCCACCUGCAAGACCAGUUCCUGAGGGUCGGCAUGAAGAAGAGGAAAAGCACGUGGAGGAUAGAGUAAAAUACGUAGACUAAGAGAGAAAGUAGGAUGCGGUGAUGGAAGUGAGAGCCGCUUGGAAAAAACUGGGAGAGAGGAGGAGGAGGUGGCGCUUGGAGCAGCAAAGACUCUGCGGUGUGUGCGCGUGCGCGCGAGAAAGAAUGGGGAAAGUAAUAGAUACUCGAAAGGCUGACUGGGUUGAUGAAUGGAAUUCCCCUCCGUAAUUUUUGGAGUCAUAAUUUUUGCCCCUUGGACUGUGCUUCUUGAAGUGCAGCGUGCCUGGAGCCCGGGCCGUGGGGCCACUCGGCUACGGAUGCUAUGUGAUCUAACCAGGACCCAGGAAGGGGCCCUCUGGCUGCAGUGAGAGAGGGGUACACGGGGCGACACGCAGUGUUCUCAGGAGGGCGGCACAGCUGCUGCAGGUGAGAAGUGCUGGGGACGGUCGAGAUCACUGGACGCCCUCAGAAAUGGUACUGCGGCUGGAGAAAUCAUUAACGAGGAAAGAAAUAACCCAAUUUCCGGGAGGCUGGGACAGGAGAAUUGCUUGAACCCGGGAGCAGAGGUUGCCGGGAGCCGAGAUCGCGCCACUGCACUCCAGCCUGGGCGACAGAGCGAGAUUCCGUCUCAAAAAAAAAAAAGAAAAGAAAAGAAAAGAAAGGAAAAGAAAAGAAGAGAAAAGAAAGAAACACCCAAUUUCAGAAAGAGAUGAGAAUGGAGAGCUCAGAAGACACAAUUUCUCUCUCACACUUCUGCCUUCUGGCCACAUCCUCCCAGACAGGAUAAAUUUGAAGGUGGUUCCCCCACGCCCCGCUAAAGAAAGUCACCCCUCCAGCCCCCACUUCACCCAAGAUCUUCCCCGUGGGAAUGAACUGAAACAUCGAGAUUUUUCUGUGGUGAUCGAACUGGAGGACUCUAACUUUCACUUACAAGAUCUAUUCAUGUUUGCAACAACAUAUCAUGAUGGGUGGAGAAUACUAAUACCAAAGGACUGAGUCUCUUUAAAUUUGACCAACUGACUUAGCAGGCAGCUGGUGCCUUGGUUCCUUUCUAUCCCUCAUGCUUAAGAUAACUUGACAAGACACUGAGGGAUAUUUUGAACCUUUCAGGCCUAAAAGCUGUGAUUUGGAUGGAAUUAAUAAAAUGGCAAGGUCUUGUUUUCCAGAGCUAUCUCCAACUUUGCCACCUGAGAAACACAAGUCCAAGUCCAAUACUUACAGAAGAAAUAACUAUUCCACCUAGUCAAGGAACUAGCCAACACUUAAUGGAGGAUUGCCCUUGGUUAUAGAGCUAACUGCAAAUGAAGUAACUAGAGGAAGACCAUUUACCUUCUCCAUUGAAGAGACCAUUCAAGAGCCAACUCAGCAAUCAGGGUCUAGCAGUGUUACUGACUGGAUGACUGGCACUUAGAGUCCAGCACCCUGCUGAGAAACCAGCAACCCAUGUGAGGAUUCCAUGGCCAACUGAGAUCACAAGACUCUUGAACAGAAGAAAUGCCAAGAGAGCUAGAAUCUUACAGAUGGUGGUAUUAAUAAUGGAGCAAACUAGAACCAAUGACAAAGACAUGAAGUCUGAAAAUAGCACAGAGAAUAUAAAUAUUGUGAGAUGAAUGUUCCCCCUUCAAUUCUCCUUAUUUGCCAAAUAUUUUCAUUUCCUUUUGUCAUUAUAGAAAAUAAAACCAUGCAUCACAGUCAAAAGUGCUCCACUAGCAACAUUGUAUGAUUCACUCUUUUUGUCAUACAUGUCUUUAGUAAUUGAUGGAUAUUAAAAUCACACAGACUAUUUAAUAAGGGCUUAUUUUACUUGCAUCGCCACUUUGAUUCAAAAAAAGAUUUAAGGUAGUUAAUAAGGUUAGAAGGAAAGAGAGUUAACAAAGACAAGAACUUUAACUAGAGUCAAAACUAAAGUCAAUAUUUAAGAAAUAAACACCACAUAGUCUCCCACGCUUUCUC
rnacentral:lncRNA from 1 species